AACGAACGCUGGCGGCAUGCCUAACACAUGCAAGUCGAACGAACCCUUCGGGGUUAGUGGCGCACGGGUGCGUAACGCGUGGGAAUCUGCCCUUUGCUUCGGAAUAACUCAGGGAAACUUGUGCUAAUACCGGAUGAUGUCUUCGGACCAAAGAUUUAUCGGCAAGGGAUGAGCCCGCGUAGGAUUAGGUAGUUGGUGGGGUAAAGGCCUACCAAGCCGACGAUCCUUAGCUGGUCUGAGAGGAUGAUCAGCCACACUGGGACUGAGACACGGCCCAGACUCCUACGGGAGGCAGCAGUGGGGAAUAUUGGAAAAUGGGCGCAAGCCUGAUCCAGCAAUGCCGCGUGAGUGAUGAAGGCCCUCGGGUCGUAAAGCUCUUUUACCAGGGAUGAUAAUGACAGUACCUGGAGAAUAAGCUCCGGCUAACUCCGUG
rnacentral:rRNA from 1 species